rnacentral:rRNA from 1 species
GACGAACGCUGGCGGCGUGCUUAACACAUGCAAGUCGAACGAUGAAGCCGGAGCUUGCUCUGGUGAAUUAGUGGCGAACGGGUGAGUAACACGUGAGUAACCUGCCCUUGACUCUGGGAUAACUGCUAGAAAUGGUAGCUAAUACCGGAUACGACCCUCGGCGGCAUCGCCAGGGGGUGGAAAGAAUUUCGGUCAAGGAUGGACUCGCGGCCUAUCAGCUAGUUGGGGAGGUAACGGCGCACCAAGGCGACGACGGGUAGCCGGCCUGAGAGGGUGACCGGCCACACUGGGACUGAGACACGGCCCAGACUCCUACGGGAGGCAGCAGUGGGGAAUAUUGCACAAUGGGCGCAAGCCUGAUGCAGCAACGCCGCGUGAGGGAUGACGGCCUUCGGGUUGUAAACCUCUUUUAGUAGGGAAGAAGCGAAAGUGACGGUACCUGCAGAAAAAGCACCGGCUAACUACGUGCCAGCCGCCGCGGUAA